UCCGAUAUGGUCUAGUGGCUAGGAUACAUCGCUCUCAUCUCUCUUCGGAGUGGUACCGAUGUGGCCCGGGUUCGAUUCCCGGUGUCGGAA